CGUGGGUAGACGGUUUGCGCGUAGAUGUAUAUUCUAUCUUACUUCUCCGAUUAAGUUUUAAUACUUAAAAACGUAAAACAUCUACUGCGCGUGAACAAAAAACAAAAUGACAUCAAACUAAAGGCAGUCUUCCGGAGCUGUGCGUUACGGGAAUGAAAACGUUCUUUUCUUCAUCUUAACAUCAAUUUAAAAAUGCAGUUGCAAAUGUCAGGACUACAGUGAAGAAGAUACUAUAAGUCCAUACUAUAAGGAUGUAGCGCCUCAGUUAGAGAGAGAACAAGCUCUUACGGUGUGGAUGGAUUUGAAUAAAUUCGUGAAACAUCAGUCCAAGAGUCCGAUCAUCGUCUUUCUGGGGAUGCUACAUCCCCUGAAUAUAAUGUACCCUAUUGUUGAAUUACCGUUUGGACUGGACGAUGCCCAGAGAGCAAUAAAAUGUGCCAAAGCGAAGACAGUAAACAACAGGAAUUUAACUGGCCUGGAGCUUUGCCACUGACUUCACUUGGAAAUAAUCUCCCACAGUCUGUAUCCUGCCUCCUUCUCUGAGCCGGAAUGCACUCAUGUUAGUUUAGACACGCCCAGACACAGCAGGCUGCAGGAACAACACAUCCUCUGAAGUGGACACUAUGUCCAGAUGCACUCUCUCUCAGGGCAGAAUUUAAAACGGUUAUAGUGAAUACUUCUAUAUAAACGGGGUUGUUUAAGGUGAUGAAUUCAGAUCUUAUCACCCAGCAAUGCAGUUUCCCUCUGCUCUAUGUAACUAUUUCUGUUUUUGUUUUUUAUAGCUUUAUUUUGUUAGCUCCCAUAGCGUUGUGUAUGGCUAUCUAAGGCUAAGAAAAAGCUCUGAUAAACACAGUACAUUUCCUGCCCAGCUUCAAACACCUGAAAGCAGUUUACCAGCUGGUAAAAUACAGGCAAGGCGAAGCAAGGCAAGGCAAGAUUAUUUAUACAGCAUAUUUCAACAACCAAGCAAUUGAAAGUGUUUUACAAAAAACACAAUACCUAGUACAUAAGAAACACAUCAUGAAUUGACAUUUAAACAGAAAUAGUGGAACAUUUAGCAGCUAUAACGUAAUAUUCUUCUCGGAUGAGUCCAAACACAGAGCUCAAACAGUUAUAUUUGUUAGAUGGACACAAAUAUGUCUCUAAAAAAAAUGGUAUUGCUCAAUAAGUGCUUGGUGUGUAAAUUAGAAGAUUGAUAAAAGUCUCAUGUGUUCAGUAAUCUUUUAUCUCAUGAAGUUACAGCAAACUCUUGGUGAUGAAAGGACGACAGGAAGGAUAUAGCAUACUAAUCAGUGUGCUUAGGGUUGGUUUUGUUUCCUAUAUUUGGGCUUGCGAGGCUGACAGUUUCUCCAUAUUUACAGUCUGUAUGCUAAGUUAAGUUAAGCAGCCACUGGCCCCCAGCUUCACAUUUAACAGACCCAAAAAAGUGUAUCGAUCUCCUGAUUUCUUAGUAAGUGAAUGAACUGUGUAAAAAUGGCAUACUAAACUGCGUGUAUAAAAAAAAAACGUAUAUCUGGACAAGCAUAUAAUAAUCAUAUCUCUUUUUAUUGUUUAGUUUGCGUUACAGAACUAUGCUGUUUGAAAGAUGAGAAACAGAUCAUUGUGACAAAUAUUUUUGUCAGGAAAUGGGUUUAGUCUGUCUGUCUGUGAGCUCAGAUAUCAAGUCCCUGUGGAUACAAAGCUCAGGAUGAAUGAGUCAGAGGAAUCCCACCCCAUCCUGCCGCGUCAUUGGCCUCUGUCACUAACUCAGAGAAAGUACACAGCACAUUUCUCUUCAUUUCUAAGAAAAACUCUUUCUAUGUACCAGAAUUUCUCUCAUGUAUUAUCCUUACUUCAAGGUAAAUGCUAACACGACUUCAGCUUUUGUUUAUCUUGAUCUGUACCAGAAGCAGUGGGAACUCUCUUGCCAUUUGCAAAAAUGUAAAUAGUUAUCAUGUGUGUUUUCGUGGAAAAAGAGGCCAUUAUCUACAGAACAAUCUAGUAUAAGCAAGUAAACAAAUAGUUUAAAAAAGGAAAAAGACGCCACAGCUGGUUUCUGUUUAAAAUGUUGAUCACUAUGAUGCAUAAAUUCCACAUAAAUGUUUUCUUGUAUUCAAAACAGUCGAACAGUAUGUGUUCUAAAAAAGCCUUUUUCUGUAAUGUAAUAUUUAUCUGAUUUGAAUUUGGCUGCCAAAAGGAAGCACUUCAGCAUCUCCAGGGAUUCUCCUCAGACAUGCUAUACUCCUUCGUCCUUUGAAAGUGUGUGGGUGGAUGUUUGGAUCUCACUGAAACGUUUUCAGUUGACUUCAGCUCCGCAUUCUGAUACUCCAAAACAACACUGACAGUCACAUCAUGAAAAUCACAUCCAUACAUGUAAGCUACAUACUACUCUCCUGGUGUGCGUCCAAAUCAGUUCUAGCUAGCUUUCCAUUUUCAAAAUGAUGUCUUUUCAUGUGGCGUAAACAUGAGUUUUAAUACAAAACAAUUCCUAUACCUUAUACAUAUAACAGUAAAGUGUAAUUCAACCAAGACGAACCCAACUACUCGCAUGAGGUGGAGAGUCACUGAUGCCCCCAACAACACCACUAACACCUCUGCAAUGUAUAAAAUAAUACAUCUAAAUCUACAGGAACAUUGCAGAAACACACUCCAGCAUGGGCCUCUCUUCAUUCACUUUAAGUGGAGUUUAUUGUAUUAUAAAAGUUUGGUAUAAAUCUAUAAUGUACUAAAUAGUUUAAAGUAUAUUUUGGAAUUAAAUAGUUCAAUUGUAAGUCUUUGUUUUGCCGAGCAUUGUUUGUAUUGGCAUUGAAUGUUCUCAGAUCAUGGCACCACCAGACACUAAAGCAAAGUCCUUGUAUGUGUAAUGUACCGCCAAUACAUCUGAUUGUGAUUUAAGGUGAAGACAGAGCCUUUGGAAAUGUCUAAAUCAUCCAAUAAAAAAAUCACUUGGUUGCUCUUCCAAA